UGGUAAAGAACUAAUUGUCCCAUUUGAAAAGGUAUAAAUGAGGCCGUUUUGAAAUAUAAUCUUUAUUAUAAAAAAAAGUUGACAACCAACCAAAAUAAAACUAUUCAUACUAUGUCUCUUCAUUAUAUCAGAAACAUGUUUGACCAUUUUGUAGCAUUCAAUGGCUCCAUACAAAAAAAUAUUACAGGUUUUCCCUGUUAUACCACUAAAGCACUGUGUGAAUGGACUGACCCAUAUGACCUCAGGGCAUUAUUUACUAUUUCUAUUUACUGUUCUGAUAUUUUUUUCUACUAAUAAUAAUAAAAAUUAUAUGUGCCACCCGAG
rnacentral:lncRNA from 1 species